rnacentral:rRNA from 1 species
UGCAGUCGAGCGGAUUUAUCCUUCGGGAUAAGUUAGCGGCGGACGGGUGAGUAACACGUAGGUAACCUGCCUAUAAGAUCGGGAUAACUAUCGGAAACGAUAGCUAAGACCGGAUAACUGGUUUUCUCGCAUGAGAGAAUUAUGAAACACGGAGCAUUCUGUGGCUUAUAGAUGGGCCUGCGGCGCAUUAGCUAGUUGGUGGGGUAACGGCCUACCAAGGCGACGAUGCGUAGCCGACCUGAGAGGGUGAACGGCCACACUGGGACUGAGACACGGCCCAGACUCCUACGGGAGGCAGCAGUAGGGAAUCUUCCGCAAUGGACGCAAGUCUGACGGAGCAACGCCGCGUGAGUGAUGAAGGUUUUCGGAUCGUAAAGCUCUGUUGCCCUAGACGAACAGCAAGGAGAGUAACUGCUCUUUGUGUGACGGUAUAGGAGAAGAUUUUCCCGGCUAACUACGUGCCAGCAGCCGCGGUAAUACGUAGGGGGCAAGCGUUGUCCGGAAUUAUUGGGCGUAAAGCGCGCGCAGGCGGUCAAUUAAGUUGGGUGUUUAAGCCCGGGGCUCAACCCCGGUUCGCAUCCAAAACUGGUUGACUUGAGUGUAGGAGAGGAAAGUGGAAUUCCACGUGUAGCGGUGAAAUGCGUAGAGAU